UACGUAGGGGGCUAGCGUUGUCCGGAAUCAUUGGGCGUAAAGCGCGCGUAGGCGGCCCGGUAAGUCCGCUGUAAAAGUCAAAGGCUCAACCUUUGAAUGUCAGUGGAUACUGCCGGGCUAGAGUCCGGAAGAGGCAAGUGGAAUUCCUGGUGUAGCGGUGGAAUGCGCAGAUAUCGGGAAGAACACCCGUGGCGAAGGCGGUUCUCUGGGACGGUACUGACGCUGAGACGCGAAAGCGUGGGGAGCGAACAGG
rnacentral:rRNA from 1 species